GGCGAACACAGAAUGGCUGAAAAACUAGAAACAGCGCUCGCAUGUCAGCUUUGAAUUGAUCAAUUCCCCCACUAGAAAAUUGGAUAUCACUAAACGAAAUGCUGCUUGAAAUGAAUCGGUCAAGGCCAUCAGCAACACUUCUCCACAAAUCCAAGAAGUCCUUUGGAUUAAGACUUGACUUAAGAAUGUUAAGCUGAAUUUUAAUAGCAUCCAGUGCUUGGACAAUAUCAAUGGAUACUGCUAAAUCC
rnacentral:misc_RNA from 1 species